rnacentral:lncRNA from 1 species
GUCAAUAGAAAGACUUAAGUCAAAGCAUACAGCUAUUACAGCUGUAUGCUUGAAUAGGAAAUAGGAAAGUCACAAGCAUACAGCUAUUGCAGCUGUAUGCUUGAAUAGGAAAUAGGAAAGUCACAGCUGUUACAGCUGUAUGCUGGAAUAAGAAUAUAAAUGAUUGAAUAGGAAAGGAAAUUGACCUUAUUUAAAUCCCUAGAUUCCCUCUUUGUAAUGGCCAUGUACAGCUCAACUUUUCCUAUAUAAUGAAAGCCUAGUCGAAAGGUGAAGGCAAUUCAAACCAUUCUGUUAUGGUAUCAGAGCUUGGUGCUUUCUCACAGAAUUCUUAAGAUUUUUUGUUUUCUUUCUUAGUCAUAGCUUUAUGGAGAAGUCAGAUAAUGUUUGUGUCAGAUUUACUGGCAAAAAUUAUGCUGCCUGGACAUUCCAGUUAGAGAUCUUUCUCAAGGGAAAGGAGUUAUGGGGCCAUAUAGAUGGCAGUGACAAAGACUUGGUUGCUGAAGGAUCUGUGGUUGCUAAGGCAGCAUGGGCUGCCAAAGAUGCACAAAUCAUGUCCUGGAUUCUCAGUUCUAUGGAGCCACAUCUGAUCCUUUCUUUGCGUCCUUAUAGAUCUGCAAAGGCUAUGUGGGAUCAUCUCACUCAAGUUUAUAACCAAGACAACAAUGCUAGGCGUUUUCAGCUUGAGUUGGCUAUUGCCAACUAUACCCAAGGAGAUCUUUCUAUUCAAGAUUACUAUUCUGGUUUUCUGGCCUUAUGGAGUGAUUAUUCUGAUCUUGUUACAGCCAAGGUUUCUGCAGAAGGUGUGCUGGCAGUGCAGCAAGUCCAUAAAAUCAGCCAACGCGACCAAUUUCUGAUGAAAUUGCGACCAGAAUAUGAACCCGUUCGUGCCUCUCUCGUCAAUCGCGAUCCUGUUCCAUCCUUGGAUGCUUGCUUUGGCGAACUAUUGCGUGAAGAGCAGCGUCUCCAUACUCAAACCAUUAUGGAGCAAGCAAGAGUUGCCUCUACCAGUGUCUCAGUUGCUUAUGCUGCUUCUGCUUACAGCAAGGGGAAGAGUCGCGAUAUGAGCAAGACUCAAUGCUAUAGUUGUAAGAAGUACGGACAUAUUGCUUCCCAUUGUCCUCAUAAAAUUUGUAACUACUGCAAGCAGCUAGGCCACAUCAUUAAGGAGUGUCCUAUCCGUCCUCCACGCCCCAACAAAGCUUAUCACGCUGCUGUUACUGCUGCUGGUUCCCCUUUUUCACAGACUCAACCUCCAGCAAAUUUACUCACCCGAGAGAUGGUGCAAGAAAUGAUUGUGAGUGCUUUCUCCACACUUGGACUUCAAGGUACUGGUUCUUCAGCCCAUACUUGGAUCUUAGACUCAGGUGCUUCCAAUCAUAUGAAAAACUCUUUGCAUGGGUUAAGUAAUAUCCGCAAAUAUUGUGGAUCCUCACAUAUUCAAACAGCCAAUGGUAGUACUCUUCCCAUCAUAGCUGUUGGUGAUGUACCUCCCUUUUUAAAGGAUGUUUUUGUCUCACCCAAGCUUGCUAUAAACUUAGCUUCUGUAGGUCAACUUGUGGACAAUAAUUGUGAUGUAAACUUCUCUAAUCGUGGCUGUAUUGUACAGGAUCAGAUGUCAGGACAGCUGAUAGCGAAGGGGCCUAAGCAUGGACGUUUAUUUUCUCUCCAACUUCCUAUUCCACGCACUUUGCUUCCUUCCUCUGUUCUAGCUUUCUUUUGUACUGCACCUAAAGUGUUCAAUGAAGUUUGGCAUAAACGUCUAGGUCAUCCAAAUCCUAGAAUCCUCUCUCAUUUGUUGAAAUCUGGGUUAAUAAGUAAUAAAGAACAUUCAGCUUCAACUGUGUUCCUUGAUUGUGCUACAUGUAAACUUGGCAAAAGUAAAAUUUUACCUUUUCCUUCUGCAGGCAGUAGAGCCACAAACCCUUUUGAGAUAAUUCAUAGUGAUGUCUGGGGGAUUAGUCCUGUCAUUUCUCAUGCAAAUUACAGAUAUUUUGUCACUUUUAUUGAUGACUACAGCCGCUAUACAUGGGUUUAUUUCUUGCGAAACAAAUCAGAAGUUUUCUCUAUGUUCAAACUAUUCUUGGCAUUGGUUAACACUCAAUUUUCUGCCACUGUUAAGACACUUAGAUCAGAUUCGGGAGGGGAAUAUAUGUCUCAUGCUUUCCAAUCAUUCUUGCAAUCUAAUGGUAUCGUUUCUCAACGAUCAUGUUCCUAUACUCCUCAACAAAAUGGAGUAGCAGAACGCAAGAAUCGCCAUCUUUUGGAUAUGGUUCGUACCUUGCUCAUUGAAUCUUUUGUUCCUCCAAAGUUUUGGGUAGAAGCACUCAUUACAACAACUUAUCUCAUCAAUAGACUUCCUUCACAAGUCUUAGGUCUAGAGUCUCCAUAUUUUCGGCUUCAUCAUUGCCAUCCUAUAUACACCAAUCUUCACACCUUUGGGUGUGUAUGCUUCAUGCAUCUUCCUCCACCUCAUAGAAAUAAACUUUCUGCUCAGUCCAUUAGGUGUGCCUUUCUUGGAUAUAGUAUUACUCAAAAGGGUUAUCUAUGUUUUGAUCCACACACUAAUCGAGUUCAUGUUUCUAGAAAUGUUAUUUUCUUUGAAAAUCAAUGUUUCUUUCCUUUGUCUUCCUCCUCAGCCACUUCUCUUGCCUCUUUACCCUUUUUUGAUGACUCUUCUCCUUUGCAAAGUGUUCCAGUUGACCGGUUCCAGCCCCAUUUGGUGUACAAAAGAAGACUUCCUAUGCUGCCCCCUUCAGCUUCUGUCUUGUCAUCUGCUCCUCCUUUGCAGCCUUCUAUGGCUUCUGAGGUACCUGUUUUGGCUCCUUUACGCCGCUCCUCUAGAAUAUCUGUACCACCUGCUAAGUAUGGAUUUACCUCAUCUGUGGCACAUCAUUCUACUGCUGCUCUCUCUGUCACUUUAUCCUCUAUUUCUAUCCCUACUGGCUAUUCACAGGCAGCUAAAGAACCAUGCUGGCAGCAGGCUAUGCAGGAAGAGUUACAUGCUCUAGAAGCUAAUCAGACUUGGGAUAUUGUUGAUUGUCCUUCUGGUGUGACUCCUCUUGGAUGUCGAUGGGUUUAUUCUGUUAAAAUCAAGGCUGAUGGCAGCUUGGACAGAUAUAAAGCACGAUUGGUGGCUCUUGGAAACCAUCAAAAAUAUGGAGAACAUUAUGAGGAGACCUUUGCUCCAGUGGCUAAAAUGGGUACUAUUCGUACAAUUUUGGCCAUCGCAGCUUCAAAACAUUGGUGUUUGCACCAAUUGGAUGUGAAGAAUGCCUUUCUUCAUGGUGAUCUCACUGAAGAUAUAUAUAUGCGCCCACCAGCUGGCUUAUUUUCCACUCCUACCUCUGCUGUGUGUAAGUUACGCCGCUCCUUGUAUGGUCUCAAACAGGCUCCUCGUGCUUGGUAUGAGAGAUUUACUUCUGUCCUUCUUCAAUUUGAUUUCCUCAAAAGUAAAUAUGAUGCCUCUUUGUUUCUACGUAAGACUGCAAAUGGAGUUGUGUUUCUAUUGGUGUAUGUUGAUGAUAUAGUCAUAACCGGUACUGAUUUAGCUCUGAUUGAUCAACUCAAGCAGCAUCUGCAGAAAUCCUUUCACAUGAAGGAUCUAGGUCCUCUAACAUAUUUUCUUGGUCUAGAGAUUCAUGCUGGUUCCCAUGGCAUUUUUUUAUCCCAACACAAGUAUGCCAUGGACUUGGUGGCAGCUGCUGGUCUCCAGCAUUUGCCACCCCUUGAUACUCCAAUGGAAAUUAAUCUCAAGCUCCGCAAAGAUGAGGGUGAUUUAUUAUCAGACCCAGCUGCAUAUCGUACACUCGUGGGCAGCUUACUCUAUCUUACACACACUAGACCUGAUAUUUCUUUUGCUGUACAGCAGGUUAGUCAGUUUAUGGCUUCUCCCAGGCACCUCCAUAUGGCUGCUGUUCGCCGCAUCCUUCGUUAUAUUCAUGGCACCAUUCGAAGUGGCCUUUGCUAUCCUGCUGGUACUUCCCUUGAUCUUAUUGCUUAUAGUGAUGCUGAUUAUGCCGGGUGUUCCGACACUCGCCGUUCCAUUACUGGUUGGUGUAUGUUCCUUGGCCCUGCACUUAUUUCCUGGAAGAGCAAGAAACAAGAUCGUGUUUCCAAGUCUUCUACUGAGUCUGAAUACCGGGCUAUGUCCCAAGCUUGUUCCGAAAUCAUCUGGCUCCACGGGCUCCUUGCUGAGCUGGGUUUUCAGCAGUGCACUCCUACUCCUCUUUUUGCUGAUAAUACCAGUGCUAUUCAUCUUACUGCCAAUCCUAUCUUCCAUGAGCGCACAAAGCAUAUUGAGAUGGAUUGCCACUUCAUUCGUGACGCAUUUGCGGCUCAGACUAUAUCACUUCCACAUGUGUCCAGCAAUCUUCAGGUGGCUGAUGUUUUUACCAAGACUCUCACCCGACAACGUCAUCAUUUUCUUACUACCAAAUUGAUGCUUAUGGACCAGCCCGCAUCAAUUUGAGGGGGGAUGUCAAUAGAAAGACUUAAGUCAAAGCAUACAGCUAUUACAGCUGUAUGCUUGAAUAGGAAAUAGGAAAGUCACAAGCAUACAGCUAUUGCAGCUGUAUGCUUGAAUAGGAAAUAGGAAAGUCACAGCUGUUACAACUGUAUGCUGGAAUAAGAAUAUAAAUGAUUGAAUAGGAAAGGAAAUUGACCUUAUUUAAAUCCCUAGAUUCCCUCUUUGUAAUGGCCAUGUACAGCUCAACUUUUCCUAUAUAAUGAAAGCCUAGUCGAAAGGUGAAGGCAAUUCAAACCAUUCUGUUAACAGGGUCAUUUAUUGGAUAUGCAAUGUUAGGCCUAAAAUAGGAAGACAACAUUUUAGGGAUCCAAAGAAGAUUAAAC